rnacentral:rRNA from 1 species
GGACUAAUAUGUCGGUCGUGCCUCGGUACGUACUGGUUUAUUGGUUUCUCCUUUCUGAAGAACCAUGAUGUCAUUUAUUUGGUGUCGUGGGGAAUCAGGACUGUUACUUUGAAAAAUUAGAGUGUUUAAAGCAGGCUCACGCUUGAAUACAUUAGCAUGGAAUAAUGAAAUAGGACGUUUGAUUCUAUUUUGUUGGUUUCUAGGAUCGACGUAAUGAUUAAUAGG